GGUCCAGGCGGCCGCGUGCGCAAGCACGAGGAAAGUCCGGGCUCCGCAGAGCAGGAGGGUCGCUAACGGCGACCGGGUGCGUCUCAAUGGCGCAUCCAGGGAAAGUGGCACAGAAAACGUACCGCCCCGCUUGGGGCCAGGGCUGUCGCGGCGCCCCAAAGGCCGCGGCGGCUGGGCCCGUCCGGCAACGGAUCGGGGCAAGGGUGAAAAGGUGCGGCAAGAGCGCACCGCGCGGCGGGUGACCGACGCGGCAGGCAAAACCCCCUCCGGAGCAAGGCCAAAUAGGGGCUGAGGCGUGGCUCGCGCCGUUGAAGCCCGGGUAGGCUGCUCGAGCCCGUCGGUAACGGCGGGCCCAGAGGAAUGGCCGCCCCGCCGGCUUGCCGGCGGACAAAACCCGGCUUAUCGGGCCAUCA
rnacentral:RNase_P_RNA from 1 species